rnacentral:rRNA from 1 species
CAAUAGCGUAUAUUAAAGUUGUUGCAGUUAAAAAGCUCGUAGUUGGAUUUCGGGGUGGCCUGCCUGGUCCACCGCGAGGUGAGUACUGGUCAGCCGCCCUUCCUCUCGAAAGCCCCGACUGCUCUUCAUUGCAGUGGUCGGGUAGUUCGGGACGUUUACUUUGAAAAAAUUAGAGUGUUCAAGGCAGGCUAUCGCCUGAAUACAUUAGCAUGGAAUAAUGGAAGAGGACCUCGGUCCUAUUUUGUUGGUUUCUAGGGCCGAAGUAAUGAUUAAGAGGGACAGUUGGGGGCAUUCGUAUUUAAUUGUCAGAGGUGAAAUUCUUGGAUUUAUGAAAGACGAACUAGUGCGAAAGCAUUUGCCAAGGAUGUUUUCAUUAA